rnacentral:lncRNA from 12 species
CCCGCCCUCCCUUCUAUGAGCCAACAAUGCCUGUCACACGUCAGACCCCAAGCUGAGGGAAGAUCAUGCCACCAAUGAAUAAGAUGUCUUUCCUGCCCUCCAGGAGCCCACAGUCCACCAGUUAUGCAUAAAAUCAGUAGGGGACUUGUAGCUUAUAAAUCACAUUUGCUUACAUUCUCUCCUUUAGAUCCGGAUGUAACCCUUUGAGUUAAAAAGUAGAGCCGUGAUUCUCCUACUGGACCCAAGAAGUUCUCAGUGUCACAAGGAUGGCAGAAGCCAGGGACGGUGCCAAAUCCUCCUUUUCGACUUCCAGUUUCUCUGCUUCCAAGAGACGUGAAUUGGCAAUUGUAAAAUGAAGAUGUGCUCGUUCCCCACUCCAGAUGAUGCCCCGCGGACCUGUAGCCUUGCUCCCCACUCCUGGUCUACACCCCAUCUUCUGGGUUGGAAGGCGCGGGAGCCCCGGACUCGCACAUCUAUUUGUUAGAAAUGAAAGAACGACUUUAUUCCAGGGAAGGAAUGAGUGUUCCCCAGAUGAAGAUGUAAAGGGCUUGCCCAGACCUGUGCUCAGAGGGACCUUGCUCCCACAGUGACCAGAGCACCUGGAAGGGCAGGUGACAGAGGGAUCCCAGCAAAGCCCAGAGAGCACUGGCGAAAACAGCUGACGGCGCCCUGCCAGCCCUGCCUGCGCCCCGGAUGCCAAAUGCAGACGACAGCCUGAAAACAAUUUGUCCGGCCUGUGAGUAAUGUCUAGUAACUAAAUGCUAAUUAAUUUGCUGUUGCAUUUGAGUUAAUUUAUGGGGUGUUCUCUUCACCGAGUAAAUUUUAAUUAAGAAGAGUAAAACAAAUGACAAAGUAAUUUCCAAAAAAUUAAUUUUCAGUAAACACAAGCCAUUGUUUUUCUUUGUAUCUAUAAUAAAAGUUAAAGUGAAGCCUCCGUAAGCCCGCCG